AUCGUCCUGAACGGCGACGAAAUGUCACUUUUGCUGAUUUGUAAUCAGUAGGUCGGGAGUUCGAGUCUCUCUGGGGGCACCA
rnacentral:tRNA from 1 species